GCCAGUAACCCAGCCCCCACACCCCUCCCACACACAGGGGCCGCUGGACAAAGACCUGACGGAGUGGGAGGGGCCUGCGGGCCGGCCCUCGGGCUGGAUCCUUUUGGGACCCGAACCCGCAAAUCCUGCCUCCCCACCCCCCAAUCCUGCAGAUUCCCCUCAGAGCCAGUUGCUAGCUAUUGCUGCAGCCUCCGCACCAGAGAGGAAGACGAAGAGGGUGCCCGUCUGCGGCCAAGGGACGAUUCCCUACUCUGCCGCCCCUUCCCCCCGGGAAGUGACCCUGGGCUCGCACGCACCAGCUCGGGUCUCUCGCCUGCCUUGCCCUCCGACCCCCGUCUAGAUGAACCCCAGUGCCUGCAGCCGCCGCCCUCUCCGGCCCUCGAAUGUCCCCGCGCCCGCGGACAAAGCUCCGGACACCCCGACAGAACGGUUACCACCCCCUGACCCCGGCCCUCCCGCGCGCUCCCGCGACUGCCCCCGCCCCAGCCCGCGGCCCCGUACCUCGGCAUCCCGGCCGGGUCCUAGGUGAGCUGAGCCCCUACUGCGUGCAGGACUCUGUGCCAGCCAGUUCUGGAUGAAGAGGGGCAGGACCACGGCUGGGCAAGUCCAUUGCUCGGCACUGAUACCACUCCGAGUGCGGGGGGGUGUGGGGACGAAGGCACUGGAUUGCGGGGUGUGCAUUCUAAACAGCAGGCUUCACCCAAGAAGGCGGCAUUCACACUGGGCUGAGCAGGAUUCAUGAAAGGCUGGAGCUGUCUCUGCCUACCCUCCCAGAGAAGGAGACAUGUUGGAGACAAACUGCUGUCAGUGUGAAGAACAGCCAGCUCAGAGCAGCAGGUGGAUAGAGUUAUGCAAGUAAAAUACCUUUUACAAAAAUUAGAAAAUAUAGAUAAGCACAAAACAAAAAAAUUAAAAAUCAAGCAUCUUCUUAAUGCCACCUCCUAGAGACAACUACUGAUAACAUUUGGGGGUCAUCUAAAUAUUAGUCUAUGUUUUCACCAUACAUAGAAAAAACGGGAAAUUGUUGCUAAGUGUACAGACUAUUCAUUACAAAAUUUUACAAAACCUUUUUUAUGUGUUGGCCACCUCUUUCUACACACACACACUCUCUCUCUCUCUUUCUCUGAAUCUCCUCUCCCUCUCAAGGGGGACACAUUUCAAGACACCAGAGUCAGGCAAGUUUGUUAAUUUUCCUAGUAUGUGUGGAGACUUUUGGGAUAUGCUGUAUUAUUGGGGGGGGGACUUCACCCUGUUUUGUAAUCUGCUUUGCUCAAUAGACAAAUAUUUUGAACAUAUUUUCCUAUGUAGAAUAGAUUUAUACCACAAAAUUGUUAAUGACAGCUUAAUAUUCCAUCAUUUGGACGUGCAAGAUUUAAUUUAACAAGUUUCCAGAAAUAAAAUCUUGAGGAACAGACUUGUAACAUCCAUCUUUGUGCUUGCAUCUAAUUAUUGCCUUAGG